UGAAGACAGCCUCAAAAGCGACCACGGAUCUCUGAUGAAAAACCCACACAUAUCCUUCUCAUUUCCUAAAUAUCCUCCAGCAGUGAUGUGGUGUAGUGGUUAGUGUGGUAUAUUUAUUGUAUAUGUAUGUAAUGGAACAGUCUGCUCCUCCCCUAAUAUCUGUGUGAUUUAGUUUGGUCCUGUUGGGUGGAGCUCUAGUUUUCAGUUUUCCAGUUUUGUAUGUUAGCUGAAGUUGUUGGUUGCUAGAGUGAUCUCCUGGCAAAUAAACGGUUGAUGUUUUGAGCCCGCUUGUCUCUGCUGAAUGGACCUGAGAACGGGUGCUUGAGGCUGGGUGACUCAACAGGUUGACUCAUCUUUUCUACCAGAAUCCUCCCAGUCUAACGGUGGCCCAUUCCGCGUGGCGCACUUUAAGCCAGCGCUUCUGAGUAUUUACACUAACGGGUGCUGAAUCAGCUUGGGCUCCUGGCAUUCUGCAGUGCAUGACCUCGAGGAAUACUAGCACAUGAGGAAUUGUGCUCUGCAGCAGAGACUACCUAUCAUGCAUGCAACUUGUUCAUAGGAUGCAAGCCAACAUCAUUUAAAAACAUGUUUA